GAUGAACGCUGGCGGCGUGCCUAAUACAUGCAAGUCGAGCGAACGGACGAGAAGCUCGCUUUUCUGAUGUUAGCGGCGGACGGGUGAGUAACACGUGGAUAACCUACCUAUAAGACUGGGAUAACUUCGGGAAACCGGAGCUAAUACCGGAUAAUAUUUUGAACCGCAUGGUUCAAAAGUGAAAGACGGUCUUGCUGUCACUUAUAGAUGGAUCCGCGCUGCAUUAGCUAGUUGGUAAGGUAACGGCUUACCAAGGCAACGAUGCAUAGCCGACCUGAGAGGGUGAUCGGCCACACUGGAACUGAGACACGGUCCAGACUCCUACGGGAGGCAGCAGUAGGGAAUCUUCCGCAAUGGGCGAAAGCCUGACGGAGCAACGCCGCGUGAGUGAUGAAGGUCUUCGGAUCGUAAAACUCUGUUAUUAGGGAAGAACAUAUGUGUAAGUAACUGUGCACAUCUUGACGGUACCUAAUCAGAAAGCCACGGCUAACUGCGUG
rnacentral:rRNA from 1 species